CCAAUAGCGUAUAUUAAAGUUGUUGCAGUUAAAAAGCUCGUAGUUGAAUUUCGGGAUCGAAUUGUCGGUCGUGCUUCGGUACGCACUGGCAUUAUCGGUUUCUACCUUCUGAAGAACCGCGAUGUCAUUAAUUUGGUGUCGUGGGGAAUCAGGACUGUUACUUUGAAAAAAUUAGAGUGUUUAAAGCAGGCUUACGCUUGAAUACAUUAGCAUGGAAUAAUGAAAUAGGACGUUUGAUUCUAUUUUGUUGGUUUCUAGGAUCGACGUAAUGAUUAAUAGGGAUAGUUGGGGGCAUUAGUAUUCAAUUGUCAGAGGUGAAAUUCUUGGAUUUAUUGAAGACUAACUACUGCGAAAGCAGUUGCCAAGGAUGUUUUCAUUAAUCAAGAACGAAAGUUAGGGGAUCGAAGACGAUCAGAUACCGUCGUAGUCUUAACCAUAAACUAUGCCGACUAGGGAUCGGAUGAUGUUAAUUUUAUAAUGACUCAUUCGGCGCCUUACG
rnacentral:rRNA from 1 species